UGGCCUAAGUUGUCAUCGACCCAUAUAUAUCUAAAUCUAUUAGGGCUAACAGCUCCUUUGCCCUUUCUCCAUGUCUAAUAAAUAGAGUCUUAGUCAUCUUACUCAUGAGAUAAGAUUCACAAAUUCCUAAUGAUUCACAAACAUAUGGGUCAAAAAACUCUUCUUUAUAAACUUAUUUAUCCUUAACUCACUAAUAUGAUCAAGACGGUAUUACUAAAGAUUGUAAUAUUCAUAUUCUCUUUUUCUUUUUAUAUUUCUAUCAAUAUAAAAAAUAUUUUUAUUGAGUGCAAAAUUAAAAGAUUAUUAUCAACAUAACCACUAUCAUAAUAUUCAUUAAAAAAAAUGGAGCAAUUAUUGCCCAUUAACUUAUUUUAUAACUUUGUAUUAAUAAUAAAGGUACAGAAAUAAUAUUUCUAAUAACUUUAGAUAUGUAAUAACAAU
rnacentral:lncRNA from 1 species